AAACCAAAGAUCCACGGUGCAGGGAAUCACAUCACAACUCCCAUCACAUCGUCAUCACGUCACAUCCUGGAUUUAUUUGUCAUUUAUUAUGGAGCAUGGAGGAUGCUUCUUGGGAGGACGAAAAAAAGCCAUCCAUAUGGGACCGUUGAUCCAAAGCAAAGGAGCCCACCGAAACGCGAGUGGAAAUCGUUUCGUUGGUUCGACAUCCACCAUCGGGUCAAGCCGAGAGUUGAAACAAUGAAUUACACAGUAAAGGGGUUGCGUUAAAUUUUCCCAAGAAGGAAAAAAAAAAAAAAGAAUGAAAAACGGGUGAAAAAGCACCAAGCUAAGCCAAGCAAGGGGAAUUUAUGUUAGUAGUUGGUCUAUGCUGUCUGGUUUGUGAUUUUCCCCAGAAAAUGGAUCACCAGAGGACUUCUUAAGCGAACGAUACACGCUCAUUCGCUUGAGUAACUGACUACCGGCCACUGGAGGGAAUCAGAAAAAUUCUGUCGAUGGGGCCAAAAAACAAAAAAAGAAAAGAAAAGAAAAGAAAGUGAAAAACAGAGCCAAGAUCCGGGGAAAAAAACGCUGGCGGUAAUUAAUUCAUUAGUUGCUUCUUCUGCUCAUCAUGGCCACAGCAUGAAGCCUCGGCAUACAAGUUUCUUGUUCUUUUAUUGGGAG
rnacentral:sRNA from 2 species